CUCCCUGACCCUCUCGCAGUUCCCCUGGAAACAGCCGGCGGGUGCAGGCAGCUCUGCCUGGCUGCUGACAGUGGGAUGGGGGCUUCGGGACCCCCCCCUCCCCAAGAUGUGAACCUGCUCCUGGGCCAGGGGGCACGGCAGGGCGGGCAGCUGCUUGUGGCGGGCUCUGAGCAUCAUAGAAGCCUUUGUCUGCAGUGCUGUGAUCUUCAUCAGUAGGAGGAAAGGAGCAGAAGCUGAGGACGUCAUGAAACAACAACAACACACAUGUGGAAAUGGAGGUGGUUCAGGGAAUGAAUCGACUGUUACAAAGAACGAGGGGAAAAAAAAAAAAGGAAACAAAAGAAACAAAAGAGAUGUCAUCGUGCACAAAACCGCUCUCUGCUCCGUGGCUUUUGGCUGCAAGGCUUAGGGCAGGACUGCGGCAGCUUGGGAUGCACGUCCCUGGGGCCAUUGGCUGAUGGGCACUUGAAUUCUCCGGCGUUUGCACAUCUCAUGCCACACAUUUUUUUUCCGGGAGCACUCAGGGCUGGGAGACGCUUCGGAGGCUGCACAAGAGGAGGCUUUUUGUUCCUGACAUCACCACGGCCGCAUCGCUGGAGGACAAUGAGCCGCUUCUUGCAGCCUGGGCUGGCAUCUUGGCUUACUGAGGUUUUGCCCUGUGGAGGAAUGUUCCCCUAAAAUACAGUGGAUGGCUGCAGCAGUGUUAAAGACUCCAGUGAAGGUGACAGCUUGCAGCCCUGGGAAAAAGGGACGCUGCCUUUGCUGCCUGUUAGUGGGAUUGAGCCCUGUGCUGCUGCAGUACGAAGCUCCGUGGCCUCGUUCACAUCAAUCCCUGGGGUGCAGAGAGGUGUCAAACGCUUCUGGCUGCUUUGCGGAGAGGAAACACUGCUUUUCCGGCAGUGAGCAGGAGGUCUGUGGGGGUUUGGUGCAGCUGUUGUGUGCUGUGAUGGCUUUCAGAUCCUAUCCUGUCCCAUGCGCCGAUCGUGGCUCAGGGCUGAUGAUGCCGGAUGGUUUUUAUAUCUAUCUGCCAUUUCAGGCUGUGUUUUUGCAAUGAGCAUGGAUUUUUUCCCACUGAGUUGCACUGGGCUCGAGAUGCUGAGUGUGGGGACUGCAGCUUCCAAAUAUGCAGAACACAGAGCUUUAACCUUCCAUAACGCAGGGGCUCCAUCCCAGCUCCGGAGAUGUAAUUCUCUAUUCCCACUGGGAGAAUUCAGACUUACUUUCAUCCCCCUGAAUUUUGAGGCUGGAUCGGGAAACGGGAGACGUGCUGUGUCCCCAGCACCGUAAAGCAGCACAUCAGCCGCUGCUGUUAGUGUCACCCUGCCUGAAGUGCCCUCCGGCUGUUCCCUGCACAAAGGGCCCAUUUUCCUCCAGUUUUGCCACUCUUGAAAGCUGCCUCUGAGCCUUCAUCCUAUGGGUGUCACCAGCACUGGGCUGGGUGAGGGGGGGUGGGGUCCCAUAGAUGGGAUCCAUGAGAUCUCCUGGGGGAUCUGGAUGGCCCCGCUGUGAUUCAGGGGGAACCCUGUGGGUUGUUGAUGCCAGUUCAUCAGCCAGCAUCGCCCCAGCGCUGCGGUUUGGACUGUGGUUUCUGGGCCCUUUCCCAAUGAUCACCAUUUCCAUGUGCUGUUCUCCCUCUUUGGGAAGCAGCAGGGAAUGUGCCCAUGAUGGACGCACGGUGUGGAGCCAUCCUGGUUGGGCGAGAAUCCAUAAUCCUGAGUUUAAUGCCUGAAUUGUGAACCCCACGCUGAGAGGUAUAAGUAUCAUUGUGUUUACAGUGGCUUUGUCACCGGUUAGGAAGGUAUCUGAUGAGGCGCAGCAAGCCAAAGACCUCCCGGGGCAAAGUCAUCCUUUGGGGAAAGCGCCGGCGCUGGUGAAGGGAGAAGACUACAGCUCCCAGGAUGCCCCACACCCAUCAUGGCCGCCAGGAAGUGUAGUGCAGAAAUACUACCGAUCCCAGCAUGCAACGCGGCGCAAUAUGGCUGACCGGAAGCGCUUCCGGAAGACUACAUGUCCCAGCUCUUGGCUGGAGGACUACAGCUCCC
ensembl:lncRNA